AGCAGCCGCGGUAAUUCCAGCUCCAAUAGCGUAUAUUAAAGUUGUUGCAGUUAAAAAGCUCGUAGUUGAAUUUCGAGAUCAAUAUGUUGGUCGUGCCUCGGUACGUACUUGCAUCAUUGAUUUCUCCCUUCUGAUGAACCAUGAUGCCAUUAAUUUGGUGUCUUGGGGAAUCAGGACUGUUACUUUGAAAAAAUUAGAGUGUUUAAAGCAGGCUCACGCUUGAAUACAUUAGCAUGGAAUAAUGAAAUAGGACGUUUGAUUCUAUUUUGUUGGUUUCUAGGAUCGACGUAAUGAUUAAUAGGGAUAGUUGGGGGCAUUAGUAUUCAAUUGUCAGAGGUGAAAUUCUUGGAUUUAUUGAAGACUAACUACUGCGAAAGCAUUUGCCAAGGAUGUUUUCAUUAAUCAAGAACAAAAGUUAGGGGAUCGAAGACGAUCAGAUACCGUCGUAGU
rnacentral:rRNA from 1 species